rnacentral:rRNA from 1 species
ACAAUGCGGGAAACCGCGAUAAGGGGAUACCGAGUGCCAGCAUAUUAUGUUGGCUGUCCACAUGUGUAAACGGCAUGUGUUAGCAAGGGCCGGGCAAGACCGGUGCCAGCCGCCGCGGUAACACCGGCGGCCCGAGUGGUAAUCACUUUUAUUGGGUCUAAAGGGUCCGUAGCCGGUUUGAUCAGUUCUUCGGGAAAUCUGACAGCUCAACUGUUAGGCUUCCGGGGAAUACUGUCAGACUUGGGACCGGGAGAGGUAAGAGGUACUACAGGGGUAGGAGUGAAAUCUUGUAAUCCCUGUGGGACCACCAGUGGCGAAGGCGUCUUACCAGAACGGGUCCGACGGUGAGGGACGAAAGCUGGGGGCACGAACCGGAUUAGAUACCCGGGUAGUCCCAGCCGUAAACGAUGUUCGCUAGGUGUCAGGGACGGUGCGACCGUUUCUGGUGCCGUAGGUAAGCCGUGAAGCGAACCACCUGGGAAGUACGGCCGCAAGGCUGAAACUUAA